rnacentral:rRNA from 1 species
GAUGAACGCUGGCGGCGUGCUUAACACAUGCAAGUCGAACGAAGAUGCCGGAGUGCUUGCACUUUGGCAGACUGAGUGGCGGACGGGUGAGUAACGCGUGGGUAACCUGCCUUAUACAGGGGGAUAACAGUUGGAAACGACUGCUAAUACCGCAUAAGCGCACGGUAUCGCAUGAUACAGUGUGAAAAACUCCGGUGGUAUAAGAUGGACCCGCGUCUGAUUAGCUUGUUGGUGAGGUAACGGCCCACCAAGGCGACGAUCAGUAGCCGGCCUGAGAGGGUGAACGGCCACAUUGGGACUGAGACACGGCCCAAACUCCUACGGGAGGCAGCAGUGGGGAAUAUUGCACAAUGGGGGAAACCCUGAUGCAGCGACGCCGCGUGAGUGAUGAAGUAUUUCGGUAUGUAAAACUCUAUCAGCAGGGAAGAUAAUGACGG